UACAGAGGCCCCAAGCGUUAGGCGGAAUCACUGGGCUUAAAGCGUGUGCAGGCGGUCCCGCAAGUGCUUUGUGAAAGCCCACGGCUCAACCGUGGAACUGCUUGGCAUACUGCGGGACUUGGGUCAUCCAGGGGCGAGUGGAACUCACGGUGGAGCGGUGAAAUGCAUAGAUAUCGUGAGGAACGCCAGAGGCGAAAGCGACUCGCUGGGGAUGCACCGACGCUCAGACACGAAAGCUAGGGUAGCGAACGGG
rnacentral:misc_RNA from 1 species